UUCGCAAUGCCCGAAAGGGUGACGAAGCGACGCCGCGUGUGGGAAGAAGGCCUUCGGGUUGUAAACCACUGUCGGGAGUUAAGAAAUGCAAGGAUAUUAAUAGUGUCUUUGUUUGACUAAGGCUCCGGAGGAAGCCACGGCUAACUCUGUGCCAGCAGCCGCGGUAAUACAGAGGCGGCAAGCGUUGUUCGGAAUUAUUGGGCGUAAAGAGCACGUAGGCGGCUGUGUAAGUCGGUUGUGAAAGCCUUCCGCUCAACGGAAGAACGGCAUCCGAUACUGCAUGGCUUGAGUGUGGGAGGGGAGAGUGGAACUUCUGGUGGAGCGGUGAAAUGCGUAGAUAUCAGAAGGAACGCCGGCGGCGAAAGCGGCUCUCUGGCCCAUAACUGACGCUGAGUGUGCGAAAGCUAGGGGAGCAAACGGGAUUAGAUACCCCGGUAGUCCUAGCCGUAAACGAUGGGCACUAAGUAGAGGGGUUUU
rnacentral:rRNA from 1 species